UCUGGCGGCAGUAGCGCGGUGGUCCCACCUGACCCCAUGCCGAACUCAGAAGUGAAACGCCGUAGCGCCGAUGGUAGUGUGGGGUCUCCCCAUGCGAGAGUAGGGAACUGCUAGGC
rnacentral:rRNA from 1 species